CGAAGGGUGCAAGCGUUAAUCGGAAUUACUGGGCGUAAAGCGCGCGUAGGUGGUUCGUUAAGUUAGGAGUGAAAGCCCCGGGCUCAACCUGGGAAUUGCUUCUAAAACUGGCGAGCUAGAGUAUGGUAGAGGGUGGUGGAAUUUCCUGUGUAGCGGUGAAAUGCGUAGAUAUUAGGAGGAACACCAGUGGCGAAGGCGGCUUUCUGGACUGUAACUGACACUGAGGCACGAAAGCGUGGGGAGCAAACAGGAUUAGAUACCCUGGUAGUCCCUGAG
rnacentral:rRNA from 1 species